rnacentral:rRNA from 1 species
UAGAGUUUGAUCCUGGCUCAGGAUGAACGCUGGCGGCGUGCCUAAUACAUGCAAGUCGAACGAGAAGGGCGAUCUUCGGACUGCCUGGAGAGUGGCGCACGGGUGCGUAACACGUAGGUGACCUACCCCGAAGACCGGGACAACGCCUCGAAAGAGGUGCUAAUACCGGAUGACUUCGGCGGGUUUAGAAACCGCCGAAGAAAGGAAUCCGCUUCGGGCGGGGCCUGCGGCCCAUCAGCUGGUUGGUGAGGUAAAGGCUCACCAAGGCUUAGACGGGUAGGGGGCCUGAGAGGGUGGUCCCCCACAUGGGAACUGAGACACGGUCCCAACUUCUACGGAAGGCAGCAGUAAGGAAUAUUGCACAAUGGGCGCAAGCCUGAUGCAGCAACGCCGCGUGCACGAGGAAGGCCUUCGGGUCGUAAAGUGCUUUUGGGGGCGAGGAGCGUGACGCUAGCCCCCGAAUAAGAGUCGGCUAACUACGUGCCAGCAGCCGCGGUAAAACGUAGGACUCAAGCGUUAUCCGGAGUUACUGGGCGUAAAGCGCGGGCGGGCGGUCGGGCAGGUCGGACGUGAAAGCUCCCGGCUCAACUGGGAGAGGCCGUUCGAAACCGCUCGACUGGAGGGCAGUAGAGGGGCGUGGAAUUCCGGGUGGAGUGGUGAAAUGCGUAGAGAUCCGGAGGAACACCAGAGGCGAAGGCGACGCCCUGGGCUGACCCUGACGCUGAGCCGCGAAAGCCAGGGGAGCGAACGGGAUUAGAAACCCCGGUAGUCCUGGCCGUAGACGAUGUCAACCAAACAUCGGCAUGUCGGUGUUGGAGCUAACGCGAUAAGUUGACCGCCUGGGGAGUACGGCCGCAAGGCUAAAACUCAAAGGAAUU